rnacentral:tRNA from 1 species
GGGGAUGUGGCUCAGUGAUGGAGCACUUGCCUAGCAUGUGUGAGGUCCUGGGUUCAAUUCUCAGCACCUCA